UACGUAGGGUGCAAGCGUUAAUCGGAAUUACUGGGCGUAAAGCGUGCGCAGGCGGUUUUGUAAGCCUGUCGUGAAAUCCCCGGGCUUAACCUGGGAAUGGCGAUGGUGACUGCAAGGCUAGAGUUUGGCAGAGGGGGGUAGAAUUCCACGUGUAGCAGUGAAAUGCGUAGAGAUGUGGAGGAACACCGAUGGCGAAGGCAGCCCCCUGGGUCAAAACUGACGCUCAUGCACGAAAGCGUGGGGAGCAAACAGG
rnacentral:rRNA from 1 species